rnacentral:tRNA from 1 species
UGUGUUGUGCCAGAAUUAAUGGGAUAUUUUGAUAGGAUAUUUAUGCUGAAGAGCCUACACAU